CUUAACUAUUCCACAAUCAAGAAAAAAGAAAAGAGCGAGAGAGAGAAGAUGACGAAAACGUCAAUGGCUUACCUAAGGUCAUUCUCCGCGAGGUUCGUGGUUGCUCCGCUGAGUUUCCUUGCCACCGUCAAAUUCAAAGAAUCUGCAACUGAAGCCAACCUUCUCUGAAGAGCAAAAUCCUAACCCCGGGUACCAUCAGUUGGUAUUCCAGCACCAAAAAGGGCUCAACCUCUUGGUACCAUCUUUGCUGCUCCUUGGGGUUCUGCACUUAUUUUGCCAAUUUCAUAUUCAUACAUAGCCAUGAGUUCUAAGGGACUCACUGAAGCCUCAAAGAUAGCAACCUUGAAUGCAAACUACAUGGCAAAACGUUUGGAGAGCCACUACCCCAUUCUUUUUCGAGGAGUCAAUGGAACAGUCGCCAAUGAAUUUCAAGGGUAUACUGUUGGCUAUGUGAAUAUUAAAGCAAAAAUGUUGUUUAUACUUUGCAAGUUGAACUUAGACAUUGAUGCUCAAGGUAUGUGUAUGCAUGAGUAGAUUUACAAUAUCAGCCAAGUCAUAAAUAGUUGUUUCUACAAUCAAGGCUAUUCUGCUAUGUAGGGAAAACAACUAUUUUAAAAACAGACAUGCGUUAAGCAAAAACCCCUUAAACGCCACACCCCUAUACAAUCAGCACAUCCCGAAGAUGAAAUGAUGUAUUCAUUUGGUAAAAAACAUAGUGACAAAAGAAAAUAUCUUCCUUCUCUCAAUUUUCACUCUCACAUCUUUAGUACUUCAACUUUUUGUUAUUUUUUGUUUCUUCUCUGCAUAUACCUAAGGUGGCAUAGCGUUAUUAUUUUCCUUCUUCAAAUACUGUUUUUGCAAUCCAAAGUUUCUGCUGUUGCUUUUCCUAUUUGAA